AAGGUUACCUGGUUGGAGGAUCUCGCGAUCAAGAAGGCGGGACCUCCAUAGUGAGGUCCGUGCGUUGCACCCCCGAAUGGGCUGAGCCGUGUGGCCGCUUCGAGUUGAGGUAAGCCAACAUCUAAAUUAUUGCGUGUGGGGCUGCGUUCGCGCAGCCUUG
rnacentral:snRNA from 1 species